AAUAUUGCGCAAUGGGGGGAACCCUGACGCAGCGACGCCGCGUGAGUGAAGAAGGUCNNNGGAUCNUAAAGCUCUGUCAUCGGNGAANAAGGUAUGACGGUACCCGAAGAGGAAGCCCCGGCUAACUACGUGCCAGCAGCCGCGGUAAUACGUAGGGGGCGAGCGUUGUCCGGAAUUACUGGGCGUAAAGGGUGCGUAGGCGGCCUGAUAAGUCAGGUGUGAAAUACCAGGGCUCAACCCUGGGGGUGCACUUGAAACUGGAGGGCUUGAGUGUCGGAGAGGGCAGUGGAAUUCCCGGUGUAGCGGUGGAAUGCGUAGAUAUUGGGAGGAACACCAGUGGCGAAGGCGACUGCCUGGACGAUAACUGACGCUGAGGCACGAAAGCUAGGGGAGCAAACA
rnacentral:rRNA from 1 species